rnacentral:misc_RNA from 1 species
AUGACUUUUUAGCAAAGGAUACUAAAUCCUUUUACAGAAAAACGGCUGUUUUAGCUGGUAAUGAUUGAUGCUUAAUGAAGUCAAAAAUACCAUCUGAAAUAAUAACCCCAUUACACGAUAGGCAAUGGGGUAGGUGGUUUAAAUUAAUGUAAUUGGGGUAAUGAAAUAUUAAAAAUUAGAAUAGUAAUUUACUGAUGAAAAUAUAAUAUUUAUCCCUAUAU